AUUGUAUUUAAAUUUAAAUUUGAUUCAAACAAAUCAUUUAUUUUCGUUAUAAAAUAUGUCAAUAUCACCAAAUAUCGGAUACGAUUCAAAUAUAUCGAAAUAAUGUACCGCCAUUGCUUUGCUGUUCGCAGACGAGUUCAUUAUAACCUGCUCGUAGUUUGUUGAAAUGUCCACACUGCUGGCGAUCAUGUUUCGCGAGUUGUCCGUGAACAGCGUCCGUGUGGACGCGGCAUAAGGUAUUCAUCCGAUGCAGUAUCUAAUUUCGCAGCACUGUCCUUGUUUAACCUAUUGUCAAUGAGCUAGUCGUGUAGAUGUCGUAUAAGGCUAUUUAUUUUUUUAUGAUUUAUCAGCAACUUCAGUUCGAUUAAAAUUAUCGAAGAUUCGAAAGACAAACAAAUCGAUCGAAGAUAUACGAAUUGAAAUUGCAAUUCUAAAUUUCACAAGAAUCGCUUUCUGGUUAUAUGUAUACAAUCGAUAUCCAUAUUCACGAAUCGUCAUGCGAAAGAAGGUUAAGUCGUACACACUUUGAAACUAUACUAUAAGACAUACGAAAAGUGGCACACAAGUAAAGAGGUCAUAUACUUAUAUGCAUCUAAAUGAUAAAUGCAUUUGUAUUUAUCGGUCUACCAAUAUGUGAAACGAACAAUAUCAGUCAAGCAAAAUAAUUUAAUCGUAAUUAAAAUCAAUUGAUUAUCUAUUAAUGAGUUACUUAUAAAUAGAAUGUUAUCAAAAAAUUAAUUAACAGGGAUAAUAAUAUAUAUCUAAAUAGAAAACAAAAAUAUGAAAUAUAAUGAAAAUUCAUGUUUCUUAUAUAUAAUAUAUAUAAUGUUCCACUAUUUAAAAUGUUAAAUUAUGUUAAUAACAAUCGUUAAAUCUUUGUAUUUCAAGCAUUAUUUAUGAUGUUCAGAGAAAUUAUA